rnacentral:rRNA from 1 species
GAUGAACGCUAGCUACAGGCUUAACACAUGCAAGUCGAGGGACCGGCGCACGGGUGAGUAACACGUAUCCAACCUGUCCUUUACUCGGGGAUAGCCUUUCGGAAGAAAGAUUAAUAUCCGAUAUAAAGGAUGGGGAGGAGUUCCGUUAGGUUGUUGGUGAGGUAACGGCUCACCAAGCCUUCGAUGGGUAGGGGUGCUGAUAGGAAGGCACCCCAGAUUGGAACUGAGACCCAGUCCAAACUCAUAGGGGAGGCAGCAGUGUGUAAUAGUGGGCAAUGGGCGCUAGCCUGAACCAGCCAAGUAGCUUAAAGGAUGAAGGGUUAUGUGUCGUAUACUUCUUUUAUAUAAGAAUAUGUAUUAUAUGAAUAAGGAUCGGCUAACUCCGUGCCAGCAGCCGCGGUAAUUC